rnacentral:snoRNA from 2 species
UCCAGGCCCUAGAAAAAAAAAAAAAUGCUGAAAGGAGCCCAAAGUGACAGUUUUUCUGUGAUCACUGUUCUGCUUGGUGUAUCUGAUUUGUGGCAUUUCAGGAAAAGACAGUU